GGUAGGGCUGCCGAUGUCGGAGGGCACUUGUCCGUAGCUGCAUUCGCUAGAGCUUCCUCCUGCAUCAGAUUUCUUCCACUGCUGAGCUGAUUGCAAGGAAUUGUUCACCUACUUCAGGGGAUUUGACUGAAAGUCGAAAGAGAAGUCUUGAAUGAAGUGUAGCUCUAAUGGAUGAAGAUGGAUAUAAAGUCUACAACAGCAGCAGCACUAACAAGAGUUGUGGUCACUUCUGAUCUGAAAAUAUUUUCUAUCUAUCUUCUACAAGUUGGCAGUCAGUCACAUUUAGAAUCAUAGAAGAUUUGCCUCAUUCUCAUGUAUGGCCAAGACUGUGUCUCCUGAAAGCAAAUAAGAUUAUUCCUAUCAGGAAAUCUGGCAAAACCCCAAAAUCCCUACUUCUCAGCUUAUGCUGGAUUUGUACAACACCAUUGUAAAAGAUUGUCUUCCUCACUAAGAGGCCUAAAUCAGAGCUGUUCCAUGUGUGAUUAAGGAAUUAUUAAUGAGAUAAUUUAAGAACAUAAGUUCAUCGGAAAAAAGCCAAGUCUGGGGAAAAGAUAGUCCAUCCAGUUUUGCCUGAACAGCUGUGCCUGGCAAUGAGCCUGGCACCACUGGCCUAAGUCCAGAGAUGAUGCAUGCGUGAACCAAAGAAGAAUCUGAUCACAAGAAAGUCUUGUUAUGCCAAGUGUGUAGUUAAGCAGAUAUAUAGGUGGAUGACAACCGUUUGCAAGGCUUCAUGCAAAUUCAUAAGCACAGUGCUAUUUUUAAAAGCAUCCAACAACGAUGUUUCUCUUCUGCCAUUUGAAGUCAACUGCAUUACUACCAGUGACACUUUAAACAGCACGGAGGCACUGAAGUGCAGCCACUGAUACAUGAAAAAAGGAGAUGAGAGACCAAGAAGGAAGAGAAUGUCAUUAAGAUGUAGAAGACAAGCCACGUCUAAAAAGCCGCUUAAAAGAUCAAACUAAACCUUGGUAUCUACUUAUUCCAUCUAUGACUAACAUUUCAGGAGAGUGGGAACCACUUGAUCCAGCUUUACUAAUGCCCUUGAGAUACUUAUCUCCACUGCACAGAGAUGUUUCCACUAUGUCAGCGGUAUAAUAAAAGAUAUAUUACUUCUUCCCACAAAUCAUGCCACCCUUGAUGAAAAACCAACUAUCCUGAUGCUCUGUUUAUUCAUCAGCUUUACUGACCUGACAUCGCGUUGCACCCCCACUAGCAUGGCAAGAGAAAUAAAGAGCAAACUAAUGGGACUAAAGGGAACUGCUCAAAACUUCAAUCAUAGCUGUAUCAUUUGGAGGGAAACCAAGAAUGCUGAGUGACAUUUGGUUAGCUGUAUUUUCAUUUUAAUGAAUUUCUGUAUGUUGAGCUAUUUCUAGCUGUUAAAUUGCAGGAAUGUUUGUGUGUCAAUACUUCCGGCUAUCAUCAGCUAUCAUCGCCGCUGUCGCACAGACUCGCAGAACAGCUGGGGCUGCAGGGACCUCUGGAGAUCAUCUGCUCAAGCAGGGCUGUGUCCAGUCAGACAGUCUGUCAUUACCUGAUGGGUAGGCUAAGAAUUAUCGCAAAGCCCUGAGAGCUGACUUAAGCCUACAUCUACUUAAUCUCAGUGAGAUUUGUUCAUAAUUUAUUUUAUCUGAGGCAGAGUGAACCUGAUGCUGAAUACUUUGAAAGACCUCACUCCCUCAUAAUCUUAGAAUUUAGCUUCCCCAUAUUUACACUGUUGGUCUUUCACUAGAGCUGUACAAGACUAAGAUUGUGAACAAAGAUGCAUUUAACUGUUGAAAGCACUUACAACGAAGAGGGGAUUAAUAAAUUUUAAGAUUCCUUUACACAGUAUUAGGGAUGUAGAAAUUAACGGAAUCGUUAAUUUGACACUCUUUAACAGUGAAAAAAAUGAUUAACUAUUCUUUACUGCUUUGCCAAGUACUUAUUGUCAAUGAUUAAGGAUCUAAUUAAUUCCUAAUGCUGUGAGUAAUA